rnacentral:rRNA from 1 species
CAAUAGCGUAUAUUAAAGUUGUUGCAGUUAAAAAGCUCGUAGUUGGAUUUCUGGUGGGAGCGAUCGGUCUGGCGCUUAGCGCGAGUACUUGCAUCGUCUCCGGCAAUCCUUGGGGAGAGUCUGUCUGGCAUUAGGUUGUCGGGCAGAGGAUCCUCAUCGUUUACUGUGAAAAAAUUAGAGUGUUCAAAGCAGGCUUAUGCCGUUGAAUAUAUUAGCAUGGAAUAAUAAGAUAGGACUUUGGUACUAUUUUGUUGGUUUGCGCACCAAAGUAAUGAUUAAUAGGGACAGUUGGGGGUAUUCGUAUUCCGUUGUCAGAGGUGAAAUUCUUGGAUUUACGGAAGACGAACUACUGCGAAAGCAUUUACCAAGGAUGUUUUCAUUAA